rnacentral:lncRNA from 1 species
AUCAACUUCAACAUUCACAAUGCUGUUGUGGGAGGCAGAAUUCUAAGAUGAUGCCCAUGAUUCUCACCCCCCGGUAUCCACACUGUGGUGUAGUUCUCUCCCCUUGAGUGAGGGUGGAAUCUGGGACUUGCUUCUAGAUAAUAAAGUAUGGCAAACGUGAAGGGAUUUUGCAGAUGUAAUGAAGGUCCCUUAGCAGUUGUCUUUGAGCUAAUCAAAAGGGAGAUUAUCCUGGGUGGGCUUGACCUACCCAGAGGAGCCCUUUAAAAAAGGGUCCAGACCUUCUGGAAGAUGAGACCUGAAGCAGGAUGUCUCUUCUGAUGAUUUUGAAGAAACAAACAACCAUACUGUAAACAAGCUAUGGAAUGGGUGGUCUCUAGGUUGAGAGCCUCAGUUCUCCAACCGCAAGGAACUAAACUCUGCCAACAACCUGAAUGAGCUUGGAAGAAGUCCUUGAGUCCUAUGAUGAGACCACUGCUCCUGCCUUGAUUGCAGAGGACCCAGCUAAAGCCCCACAAAACGACUUGACAUAUGAAGCUGCGCUAGCCAUCUUACAGUCAUGAAGACAAAAGCCAGUACACUAAAAAUCAUGGAUCAAAAGAAGAGAAAUAACUGAGUCUUUUGAUCAUAUUACCAACCCAAGAUUGUCUGCCUU